rnacentral:miRNA from 1 species
UUCCAAUGGGCUUUGAAUCAGGU